GUGAAGAAAAAAAAAAUAAAAAAGUAAAGAAAAGAAACACCAAACAUUGGGAACAUUUGUCUCAAGGGGACAAGGGGAGGUUUUGGUUCCUUGUUCCUUGUAUCUUGUUUAGCUUAAAGCCAGUUUCGGAGCAAGAGGAAAGGGAGCCUUGUCAUAUGAAUUUAAGAGUAGAAAUUGAGGCGAGAGGUGUAAGUUGCUUUUGGAGACCAGUUUCUUGGAAUAACAUCUCUUGCAGAAAGUGUUCUUCCAGUUGAAAGUGUUGUUAGCUUCACUGAGAAUGGUCCUCUUAAGGGUCCCCUAAUAAUACACCAAUUUGCACCCCAUAGAUGAUUCAUCUCUAGCCACUCACUGCCACCUGCUUCUCUUAUAUGCAUAGAUCCAACGUCACCAUCACCAUCCUCAAACUCUACNNNNAGCCAGUAAUCUGUUGAACCUUCAUUUACAUGGAAGGCAAUGUUCUUCCCUGGAUAUUUACAUGGGGUCCGGCGAAAAGCAACAGGGAUCUCGCCUCGGUUCCUGAGCUGGCCAUUCUCACCGGCUAUAGCCAUGCGACCAAAGGCUGCACCGCUGUGGGUGCGUCCAUUGGAGCAGUACCCACCUGGGCACUCAUCUGUUACGAUUAUGGUUACAGCUCUUCUUGAGCAUAUGCUUUUGUCUAGGCACUUCACUUUGUAACAUGCGCC
rnacentral:misc_RNA from 1 species